ensembl:snRNA U6 U6 spliceosomal RNA
GUGCUCGCUUCAGCAGAACAUAUACUAAAAUUGGAACAAUAUAGAGAAGAUUAGCAUGGCCCCUGUGAAAGGAUGUCAUGCAAAUUCGUGAAUUAUUUCAUUUUUAA